rnacentral:SRP_RNA from 1 species
GGCGGGUCUCCCCGCAUGGCUAAGUUGCCAACCUGGUCAGGUCCGGAAGGAAGCAGCCACAGCGACCGAUGCCAGUGCCGGGGGUAAGGCUCGCCACCU